GACGAACGCUGGCGGCGUGCUUAACACAUGCAAGUCGAGCGAUGAAGCUCCUUCGGGAGUGGAUUAGCGGCGGACGGGUGAGUAACACGUGGGUAACCUGCCUCAUAGAGGGGAAUAGCCUUUCGAAAGGAAGAUUAAUACCGCAUAAGAUUGUAGUACCGCAUGGUACAGCAAUUAAAGGAGUAAUCCGCUAUGAGAUGGACCCGCGUCGCAUUAGCUAGUUGGUGAGGUAACGGCUCACCAAGGCGACGAUGCGUAGCCGACCUGAGAGGGUGAUCGGCCACAUUGGGACUGAGACACGGCCCAGACUCCUACGGGAGGCAGCUGUGGGGAAUAUUGCACAAUGGGGGAAACCCUGAUGCAGCAACGCCGCGUGAGUGAUGACGGUCUUCGGAUUGUAAAGCUCUGUCUUUAGGGACGAUAAUGACGGUACCUAAGGAGGAAGCCACGGCUAACUACGUGCCAGCCGCCGCCGUAAUAC
rnacentral:rRNA from 1 species